UGGGGAAUAUUGCACAAUGGGCGCAAGCCUGAUGCAGCAACGCCGCGUGAACGAUGAAGGUCUUCGGAUCGUAAAGUUCUGUUGCAGGGGAAGAUAAUGACGGUACCCUGUGAGGAAGCCCCGGCUAACUACGUGCCAGCAGCCGCGGUAAUACGUAGGGGGCUAGCGCUAUCCGGUUUUACUGGGCGUAAAGGGUGCGUAGGUGGUCUUUCAAGUCGGUGGUUAAAGGCUACGGCUCAACCGUAGUUAGCCUCCGAAACUGGAAGACUUGAGUGCAGGAGAGGAAAGUGGAAUUCCCAGUGGAGCGGUGAAAUGCGUAGAUAUUGGGAGGAACACCAGUAGCGAAGGCGGCUUUCUGGACUGCAACUGACACUGAGGCACGAAAGCGUGGGUAGCAAACAGG
rnacentral:rRNA from 1 species